GUCGAAGUAGCAAAGUGGUCAACUGCGAGUGACUUAAGCUCUCUUCCUUCAUGGUUCGCGGGUUCGAAUCCCGUCUUCGACU
rnacentral:tRNA from 1 species